rnacentral:rRNA from 1 species
AACGAACGCUGGCGGCAGGCCUAACACAUGCAAGUCGAGCGAGAUCUUCGGAUCUAGCGGCGGACGGGUGAGUAACGCGUGGGAAUAUGCCCUUCGGUUCGGAAUAGCCCCGGGAAACUGGGAGUAAUACCGGAUACGGUCUACGGACGAAAGAUUUAUCGCCGAAGGAUUAGCCCGCGUUGGAUUAGGUAGUUGGUGGGGGUAAUGGCCUACCAAGCCGACGAUCCAUAGCUGGUUUGAGAGGAUGAUCAGCCACACUGGGACUGAGACACGGCCCAGACUCCUACGGGAGGCAGCAGUGGGGAAUCUUAGACAAUGGGGGAAACCCUGAUCUAGCCAUGCCGCGUGAUCGAUGAAGGCCUUAGGGUUGUAAAGAUCUUUCAGUGGGGAAGAUAAUGACGGUACCCACAGAAGAAGCCCCGGCUAACUCCGUG